GCUAAAGAAGCUUUACUUUCUCUUUUCUUAUUUUAAGGAAACAGAAUCAAGCGUGCUGAUGCUUCUUAAAUGCCUCAAUCAAGUAGCCAUGACCAGAAAGGCCCAUUCAUCCUUUUACACCUUCAACCGCAGCCUUCUUCAGAGGAGAUUUCUAAGGUAGCAGAUGGACCAUUCAAAGACUUAGAAAAUGAGGCCAAACAGAUGAAUAAAUGGUGAGAAUGAAGUAGCCAAAGAUGUUGAAAAGAAAAAAGACCUUCCAGGAGGUGGAGCCAAGAGUGAUGGAGAACAAUGGACACAAGGUCCACCAGUAAGGAGCAGAACUGGGGCCUGGAGGAGAAACAUUCCUAACCUCAGGGAAGGGCCUGGACACUUUUUCACAGUAGACGUUCUGUCUUGCUGUGAAUGAGAGCAGCAAUGGGCCACUUGUCUUCCCUUUUCAAAGAGGAGUGGCCUGUCCCUGUUCCACUAUUGUGUGUUAGGCGAGGAGGGAGCAUAUAUCUUGCCUUUUCAGUUCUCUGAUCUUUAAAUCAAGAGGAGCUACAACCCAAACUUGAUGUAGCCUAAGAAAUCGUGGGCUUUGAGCCUGAUGCCAUGAUUAGAUGAGGCUUUUGAGGGUCCUGAGAUGGGGUUUCUCCCACUAAUAGCACCUUUAACUUUGGGUUUCGGUUUGAGCUUGCAAUUUGCUUUGGUCAUGAACAGAAUAUGCCAUCCCCAAAUAUGAAGUAUUGUUGAACUGAAGGAAAGGUGAUU
rnacentral:lncRNA from 1 species